UACGUAGGGUGCGAGCGUUAAUCGGAAUUACUGGGCGUAAAGGGCGCGUAGGCGGUUCGUUAAGUCCUGUGUGAAAUCCCCCGGCUCAACUCGGGAACUGCACAGGAAACUAGCGGGCUUGAGUUCGGGAGAGGGAAGCGGAAUUCCGGGUGUAGCGGUGAAAUGCGUAGAUAUCCGGAGGAACACCGGUGGCGAAGGCGGCUUCCUGGACCGACGCUGACGCUGAGGCGCGAAAGCUAGGGGAGCAAACGGG
rnacentral:rRNA from 1 species